UCAAAUUACAUAAACUAUACUUAAUUUGUUGCCAUAAGGCGCAAAUGCAAGUGUUGCGCAUGCUCACUGAAGUCUGAGUUCAAAAAACAACAUCUGAAGGCGCAAUGGCGAUCUACUGUCUGACUCAGCGAAAAGGAGGAUUUGGAUGAAUAGAUGUGGAUGUUUUACAAGAAACCUCAUCAGUGGGACAAUAACUCAAUUAUGAUAUGUGAGUUUUGUGGAAACGUAAAGUGUGUGGAAGAAGCAUCACAGAACUAUCCAGUAUGUUUAAGUUAUUGAAACAUUCUAAGAUUAAAUUUGGACAUUUUGAGGAGAGAUUCAGUCAACCUGUUCACAGUAAAUUAAAUAAAAGCGGAAUUAAUGCGGAUAACGACUGUGCCACUUCUGUCAAUGUUCAUAGCAGCUGGACAGAUACACUGUUAAUCAAAUUAAAGUUUUCAGCAGCAAAGGAGCUUCUGGACAAAAGAUAUCACACACAUUGCAGUUGCAGACAAGUGCGAAGAUAUACACUUCAAAUGAGACUGUGUUAUAAAGAGUCUGUGUGUGUAUCUCAAUGGGGACAUUACAACACUUCCAGUUCUCCAGAAUUCUUCCAGAAUUCCAGGACUGCAAUCCUGAAGGAACUGAGGGAGGAAUUUCUGAGACCACUCUGGGCCCUUUUGUGACCCUUAAAGAAAGCGCUGAGGAUGAGCCAGUGGAUGUUGGCGUAGCAACAGAGGGUUUAAAACUACUACAACACUUAGGAGUUUUUCCUUUGGAUGCUGUUUGCUGUUUGGAUUGAUCUACGCAAUCAAGCUAUGCUCCGAGUCUCAAAUUCACUUUUGAAUUCUUCCAGAAGGUACUGAUGAAUUUAGAUUUUAGGACAUCACACAGAUGUUUCGAUCCACUGGAAGGACUUAGAAACUUUGAAACCUAAGAAACAUUGAAUUGAAGACUAUGAUCAAUGACACUAUGAACCAAUGACACUAACUCAAAUCAAGAGACUACAUCUAAUGCACCUUAUGGCUUCCUCAAACUCUGAUAUUUUUAAAGGGUUAGUUCACCUAAAAAUGAAAUUUCUGUCAUUAAUUACUCACCCUCAUGUCGUUCCACACCUGUAAGACCUUUGUUCAUCUUUGGAACACAAAUUAGGUUAUUUUUGAUUAAAUCCGUGAGCUAUCUGACCUCAGAUAGACUGCAACACAACUACCACUUUCAAGGCCCAGAAAGGUAGUAAAGACAUUGUUAAAAUAGUCAAUGUGACUGCAGUGGUUCAACCUUAAUGUUAUGAAGUGACAAGAAUACUAUUUGAGCGCAAAAAACAAAACAAAAAAACUACUUUCUUCCCUUUUAUGUCAUGCUCCUACGCAGCUGAGGUUGUACACACAUAAUAUCUUAAUUUGUGUUCUGAAGAUUAAUGAACGUCUUAGGGGUUUGGAGCAAAAUUAGGGUGAGUAAUUAAUGAAAGAAAUUAAAUUUUUGGGUGAACUAACCCUUUAACAGAGA